GAAACCAACAGGGAUUGCCCUAGUAACGGCGAGUGAAGCGGCAACAGCUCAAAUUUGAAAUCUGGCGCAAGCCCGAGUUGUAAUUUGUAGAGGAUGCUUCAGGGCAGCGGCCGGUCUAAGUUCCUUGGAACAGGACGUCAUAGAGGGUGAGAAUCCCGUAUGCGACCGGUUGGCACCCGUCACGUAGCUCCUUCGACGAGUCGAGUUGUUUGGGAAUGCAGCUCUAAAUGGGAGGUAAAUUUCUUCUAAAGCUAAAUACCGGCCAGAGACCGAUAGCGCACAAGUAGAGUGAUCGAAAGAUGAAAAGCACUUUGGAAAGAGAGUUAAAAAGCACGUGAAAUUGUUGAAAGGGAAGCGCAUGCAACCAGACUUGUCGGCGGUGUUCCGCCGGUCUUUUGACCGGUCUAUUCGCCGCCGGCAGGCCAGCAUCAUCUGGGCGCGCCGGAUAAAGGCGUGGGGAAUGUAGCUCCUCGGAGUGUUAUAGCCCUGCGCACAAUACGGCGUCGCCCGGGUGAGGUCCGCGCUUCGGCUAGGAUGCUGGCGUAAUGGUUGUCUGCGGCCCGUCUUGAAACACGGACCAAGGAGUCUAACAUCUAUGCGAGUGUUCGGGUGUCAAACCCCUACGCGUAAUGAAAGUGAACGGAGGUGGGAAGCGCAAGCUGCACCAUCGACCGAUCCUGAUGUCUUCGGAUGGAUUUGAGUAAGAGCAUAGCUGUUGGGACCCGAAAGAUGGUGAACUAUGCCUGAAUAGGGUGAAGCCAGAGGAAACUCUGGUGGAGGCUCGCAGCGGUUCUGACGUGCAAAUCGAUCGUCAAAUUUGGGUAUAGGGGCGAAAGACUAAUCGA
rnacentral:rRNA from 1 species